UACGUAGGAUGCGAGCGUUAUCCGGAUUUAUUGGGUUUAAAGGGUGCGCAGGCGGCACGGCAAGCCGGCGGUCAAAUCGCGGGGCUCAACCCCGCCCAGCCGUCGGAACUGCCGGGCUAGAGUGGGCGAGAAGUGCGCGGAAUGCGUGGUGUAGCGGUGAAGUGCAUAGAUAUCACGCAGAACUCCGAUUGCGAAGGCAGCGCACCGGCGCCCUACUGACGCUCAGGCACGAAAGCGUGGGUAUCGAACAGG
rnacentral:rRNA from 1 species